CCUACGGGGGGCUGCAGUGGGGAAUAUUGGGCAAUGGGCGCAAGCCUGACCCAGCGACGCCGCGUGAGGGAAGACAGCCUUCGGGUUGUAAACCUCUGUUGCAGGGGAAGAAGGAAGUGACGGUACCCUGCGAGGAAGCUCCGGCUAACUACGUGCCAGCAGCCGCGGUAAUACGUAGGGAGCGAGCGUUGUCCGGAAUUACUGGGCGUAAAGGGCGCGUAGGCGGCGCUUCAAGUCGUCUGUCAAAUGGAAGGGCUUAACCCUUUUUCGCAGACGAAACUGGAGAGCUUGAGAAGCAGAGAGGCAAACAGAAUUCCUGGUGUAGCGGUGAAAUGCGUAGAUAUCAGGAAGAAUACCAGUGGCGAAGGCGGUUUGCUGGCUGCAUACUGACGCUGAAGCGCGAAAGCCAGGGGAGCAAACGGGCUUAGAUACCCCUGUAGUC
rnacentral:rRNA from 1 species